rnacentral:lncRNA from 1 species
UGACGUCAGUGGGCGUCGGGGUGGGCCUCGCGCGGGCGGGGAGCCUGUGGCGCGCUGGAGCCCAGCUACCCGGCCGCCCCUUCUGCUGGCGUCGCUGUUCAAGGGGCUGAGGAGGCUCCGGGCGGCCGAGCCGUUUCCGCGUUUGCUGCGCCGGCCCCGCGAUUUACAGCCCUGGAGAAUCUACUUUUUUCCCCUCAUUUUUUGCCCUGCAGUAAUAAAUCCCAUUAUGGACACCCAGAAACUUUAUAAAGGGAUAUAGUUUGAAUUUUGGGGAGUGUAUGACUUAUACUUUUAAAAUAUGAAGGGUUUUCAGAAACAAGGCCAGUAGAGUUAAUUACUGGCAUAUUAUUCGUGAGCAGUGUUGCUGAUAGAGUAUCUUGUUAGGCAUUUGUGAUAAUACUAGAACAGUCAAGUGGUAUCUUGAUAAACUUGAUUUACCUUUAAAUACAAAAUGAGUGAUAUUAUAGAUGCCUGAUUCUUAACUGAAAGACAAGUUAUGUAAAAAGGUUCUGCAGUAGAAGCUUUAUGGUUAACUAGUUAAGUUUAUGGAGACAAUAUCUUCAAUUGACCAAGUAUAAUAAAGUGGUAUGCAAAGUUAGGAAGAAAGACAGCAUAAUGUUGAUGCUGCAGGAAAUCAAAACAAAUAUAGACAGUAUUAACAAAGAUGAGUUAUCAGCUUGUGAGUUUUAACAUCGUACACAGUAUAACAGAUUUAGGUUCAACAAUGCUUGUACGUGUUGACAUCCUCCAAAAUUGUUAACUGAAGCUACUUUAACUUUCUCAAGUAAAUACUGUGAUGAUAAGCUAUGUGAAAUUAGCCUUUAGAUAAUGUGACCAUAUGAAGACUUAUUAUUUACUAGAAUAAAAGAAGAGUUUUUAAUAAAAAAUAAAAGUGUUUGGAGGGAAAGAAGUCUGCAUAUAGUUUUUUUUUUUUUCUCUUGUACUAUGGCCAUUAAUCAGCUUGAUAUCCAGGCUUUGUAGUUUGUAACCAAAAGCAAAUUAAAGGCAUAAGUACCGUGUCUUUGUUUAGAAUUUUGGGAAUAUAAACUUCCUUGAAAAAUCAAGGAGUGUUAACAUAUUUUCAAAAGUGUCUUAGCUUCUUUCAGUCUGUUUAGUAUUAUACCAAAUAGUGAACAGAGCUAGCACUUGUGUUAAUAUAGUCCUAAAGAGUAUUAAAUAGUAUUUUGAUUAUAUAGGAGAGAGGGUCAUCCUACCUGGGGUAAAUUCAGAUGUAAAUCCAGUAAAGAAGGUGUAGUGAAUUUUACAUGAUUAGGAGCCUAUAAUUUGAUUCUUUUUUAUGGUUAAAAAAAAAAUCUAAUGUGAAGAGAAGUUUCAUGUAAAGGAUUUUUGCUC